CAAGUGGAACAGUUACAGAACAUUGACAGUUACCAGUUCAUUACUAAUUGUACUUAGCAGCCUGUGGUCCAUAUAUAGUGUUAUAGGUGCUUCAAUGUAGUAACAGCACAGCACAGUGAAUGUAUACAUGUAUGGCUGGGAGAUUUGUGGUUUACAGUUCUUACAGAACUGAGCCAGGAUUACGAGGAUUAUGCUUAUGACAGCUAUGUUGGUAUAAGUGAUGAACUUGAAAUGACGAUGACUGUUACAGAAUUGAAUAAAUUAACAGAACUGAAUCCACGCCUCAUAUCUCGAUUCUAUUGAUAUAAAUUAAAGAAAACCAACGAGAUUGCACUGUAAUCUGGCAAA